rnacentral:rRNA from 1 species
AUUGAACGCUGGCGGCAGGCCUAACACAUGCAAGUCGAACGGUAACAGGAAACAGCUUGCUGUUUCGCUGACGAGUGGCGGACGGGUGAGUAAUGUCUGGGAAACUGCCUGAUGGAGGGGGAUAACUACUGGAAACGGUAGCUAAUACCGCAUAACGUCGCAAGCCCAAAGAGGGGGACCUUCGGGCCUCUUGCCUUCGGCUGUGCCCAGAUGGGAUUAGCUAGUAGGUGGGGUAACGGCUCACCUAGGCGACGAUCCCUAGCUGGUCUGAGAGGAUGACCAGCCACACUGGAACUGAGACACGGUCCAGACUCCUACGGGAGGCAGCAGUGGGGAAUAUUGCGCAAUGGGCGCAAGCCUGAUGCAGCCAUGCCGCGUGUAUGAAGAAGGCCUUCGGGUUGUAAAGUACUUUCAGCGGGGAGGAAGGGAGUAAAGUUAAUACCUUUACUCAUUGACGUUACCCGCAGAAGAAGCACCGGCUAACUCCGUG